UGGGAGAUGAUGACCCUUUCCCCAUGAGAUCAACUAUGAUUGUACUAUCCUUUUUCUUAUCUUAUUUGAGGAGAAAUCAAACUCGGAAUUAUGAUUCUA